rnacentral:rRNA from 1 species
AAAUUGAAGAGUUUGAUCAUGGCUCAGAUUGAACGCUGGCGGCAGGCCUAACACAUGCAAGUCGAGCGGUAGCACAGAGAGCUUGCUCUCGGGUGACGAGCGGCGGACGGGUGAGUAAUGUCUGGGAAACUGCCUGAUGGAGGGGGAUAACUACUGGAAACGGUAGCUAAUACCGCAUAACGUCGCAAGACCAAAGUGGGGGACCUUCGGGCCUCAUGCCAUCAGAUGUGCCCAGAUGGGAUUAGCUAGUAGGUGGGGUAACGGCUCACCUAGGCGACGAUCCCUAGCUGGUCUGAGAGGAUGACCAGCCACACUGGAACUGAGACACGGUCCAGACUCCUACGGGAGGCAGCAGUGGGGGAAUAUUGCACAAUGGGCGCAAGCCUGAUGCAGCCAUGCCGCGUGUGUGAAGAAGGCCUUCGGGUUGUAAAGCACUUUCAGCGGGGAGGAAGGCGUUAAGGUUAAUAACCUUGGCGAUUGACGUUACCCGCAGAAGAAGCACCGGCUAACUCCGUGCCAGCAGCCGCGGUAAUACGGAGGGUGCAAGCGUUAAUCGGAAUUACUGGGCGUAAAGCGCACGCAGGCGGUCUGUCAAGUCGGAUGUGAAAUCCCCGGGCUCAACCUGGGAACUGCAUUCGAAACUGGCAGGCUAGAGUCUUGUAGAGGGGGGGGUAGAAUUCCAGGUGUAGCGGUGAAAUGCGUAGAGAUCUGGAGGAAUACCGGUGGCGAAGGCGGCCCCCCCUGGACAAAGACUGACGCUCAGGUGCGAAAGCGUGGGGAGCAAACAGGAUUAGAUACCCUGGUAGUCCACGCCGUAAACGAUGUCGAUUUGGAGGUUGUGCCCUUGAGGCGUGGCUUCCGGAGCUAACGCGUUAAAUCGACCGCCUGGGGAGUACGGCCGCAAGGUUAAAACUCAAAUGAAUUGACGGGGGGCCCGCACAAGCGGUGGAGCAUGUGGUUUAAUUCGAUGCAACGCGAAGAACCUUACCUGGUCUUGACAUCCACAGAACUUUCCAGAGAUGGAUUGGUGCCUUCGGGAACUGUGAGACAGGUGCUGCAUGGCUGUCGUCAGCUCGUGUUGUGAAAUGUUGGGUUAAGUCCCGCAACGAGCGCAACCCUUAUCCUUUGUUGCCAGCGGUUCGGCCGGGAACUCAAAGGAGACUGCCAGUGAUAAACUGGAGGAAGGUGGGGAUGACGUCAAGUCAUCAUGGCCCUUACGACCAGGGCUACACACGUGCUACAAUGGCAUAUACAAAGAGAAGCGACCUCGCGAGAGCAAGCGGACCUCAUAAAGUAUGUCGUAGUCCGGAUUGGAGUCUGCAACUCGACUCCAUGAAGUCGGAAUCGCUAGUAAUCGUAGAUCAGAAUGCUACGGUGAAUACGUUCCCGGGCCUUGUACACACCGCCCGUCACACCAUGGGAGUGGGUUGCAAAAGAAGUAGGUAGCUUAACCUUCGGGAGGGCGCUUACCACUUUGUGAUUCAUGACUGGGGGUGAAGUCGUAACAAGGUAACCGUAGGGGAACCUGCGGUUGGAUCACCUCCUUA